rnacentral:rRNA from 1 species
UACGUAGGGAGCAAGCGUUGUCCGGAAUUAUUGGGUGUAAAGCGCGCGUAGGUGGCCAUGUAAGUCCGCUGUGAAAGUCAAAGGCUCAACCUUUGAAAGCCGGUGGAUACUGCAUGGCUAGAGUACGGAAGAGGCGAGUGGAAUUCCUGGUGUAGCGGUGGAAUGCGCAGAUAUCAGGAGGAACACCAAUAGCGAAGGCAGCUCGCUGGGACGUUACUGACACUGAGGCGCGAAAGCGUGGGGAGCGAACAGG